CAACGAGAUAUCUAUGAGGCUAGUAUCAGAUCUAGCAAGCGGGAUACGUUCUAGCUACUUUCUUUAACAACCGAGGCACAGCCUAGCACCACGGAUCAGCUGAGACAUCAAACUGUAGCAGCGGCUUGGGAAUAGCUUGAAAGCAGGUUGUGCGUACGCAAUCUGACGUCUGGAGAAACUACGACAAGAGCGUCGAACUGGGCCCUUCUAGUUGACCUUCUGGUCAGACAAAUGGGAUUCCAAGUGGAUGUGAAAGUAGGUCCUGUGAGCUCUGGAGCAUCGCUAAUGGACUGCUCAAAGUCGUCGGCUGAUUUGUAGGUGGUCUCACUGGUGUCACCCGCCGCAACCGCUGAUUCCUCAUCUGGCGGAGGACUGUCGGCUUGGGUGUCGUCUUUCCUGCUCGGUUCUUCGUCGUCGUCGCUCUGUGCGAAUUCUCUGGGAGGUUCGUCCGGGGAGUCAAUGACGACCGUCACUUUUUGUUGGUGAGGUGGUACGGAUUGCUCAGUCACGGUCGCUGGAACGUCUGCCGUCUGCAAGAGAAUCUGGAUGAGCUCAGACAGAGAGAGAGACAGAAAAGAACGGCAUGAGAACGAGAGAAUGAGAAGAGACAACUCUGUCAGUGGUUCAUGGUUGUGUCGUGACGUAAAGCCACAAAUUACCAUCACUAUACGAGAACUGAUGAAAGAAAGAAAGAAAAAAAAAGAAAAUAAAAAGAACAUACCCAGAAUGGAUUUAUUCAUGAAACAGUAAAAUACAUAUAAACUCGAAUACCACUCACCACUGGGGUGGUCCCCUCCGGGAUACACCCACUUAGCCAGCCCACUUUCACUGUUUCAAUGUUCGAAAUACUUUUAGAAAUUUUCUUUGGAAUCUCCCGAACUUCUUCGUGUGAAUCUCCCGAACGUCCUGAAUUAUUUUUUUCUUUCAACUGCACUUUGACUAUUUAUUUAUUUUUGGCAAAAGGAAAAAAAUAAAAUAAACAAACCAAAAACAAAGGGGGUGUCGCCCCGGUGACUCAAAGUUCGGGAAGAAAAUCGAACUGUAGCUAAAAAUAAAUCAGAAAAUCUGUAUUUUCGUGCGAUGGAAACGACUGUGAUUAGCCAGCUCAUUACUGUUUCCAAAGAAGACUUCCAAAAAUGUUCCGGACAAUGGAAGCAGCCUUGGGUUUAGUGCAUGGUUUUGGGAAGGGGACUGCCUCCAUAGUGACUAAGACUCAAUUUUUAAGUUUUUUAAAAAUAUAAAUCCAUUCUGGAAGCUUUUCUUGUCAGUCAGUCCUCGUAUUCUAAUACGAUGAGUUCAUUGCUGGAUAGCUGUUUCUUGUUCGACUUUUCUGCUAUGUAAUCCGAA